UAAGACAUAUCUACGUAUAAUAUCAUUAUGUAUUUCAGUAGUAUAAUAUACUGUUAUCUCAACUUCGCGAUAAUCUAUUAUCGUUGUUAUUAUUAUUAUUAUUAUUAUCACUAUUAUCUUGUUCCUUAGCCUUAUAGUAAUAUGCAAUGCGCACUAACGAACGUCACUGUCGUGCAACAGGUCGGCGAAUUGAAAUUCAAAACCGAACGUCGUAAAUCAAAAUAUCCGGUCGACACAGAUGUAUAGUUCUCACAAAACAAUCAUUGCGUGAAUAAAAAAAAACUAUUUUCGAACGUUUUAACCGUCUCGACGUGUAAAACGUUAUUUAAUUAUUUGUUAUUAAUUAUUGUUACGAAUAUAAUGUCACACCCUCAGAAUAUAGUUGACUGACUGCUACAUAAUACUCCACGAGUUUUACUAGUUUUGGAUUACCCACUAACGAUGAUAUUAAUUCUGAAGAGUAAUGAUAUUUUUACAGUCCCUAAUCAUUCUUAAAAUAUAAACGGAAAUAAAUAGUUCCUAUUGCUAUUGGAUAAACAUAUACAAAUUUACUCAGUAGUUAUUCUAUUUUGUUCUUAAAUAAUUACGAUAACAUUAUAUUUAACUGCG